rnacentral:lncRNA from 1 species
ACUAAUUAGGUCAUCGAAGAUUCUGUCAUCUCGAUGAUAAAUUUUAAUAUUACAGAGCAGAGGAUGAGGAUGCAACACAUCUUGAAGAUAACGAAUGUGAUAUCAAAUUGGCAGUAAGUGACUUAUUUUUUUCCUAUUCCAUUUUGGGAAGGCAGGAGUUGGUUGAUACAGAAGGAAUUAUAUUUAGUUUUUCUCUUACACUUCAUUUAACUUUUGAAAAGCUCUAUAAGUUUACUGCAGGAAAUGCAAGAAGGAAAAUAAUUUUUUAGAGACUUGAUAAAGAACAUGGGGUUUUCAGUACUAUUUUUAAUAAGUAGCAUUCUGAUACAUAUUAUUGCUAGUUAGGAUGUCAAAUGAAAAAAUAAGCAAUGUUAAUUUGGAUUUUUAACAUCUACAUGUAGUCUCUAGGUUAUCUGAAGUAAUCCAGGGCAUUCAGCUAUAUGUAAUUACUAAACUAUUUGAGUUAUUGCUUAAUCCAUGAUUUUUUGUUUGUUUUAUGCAGGGGGAUAGUUUCAUAGUAAGUUCUGAAUUCCCUGUAAGACUGAGUGUAUACUUAGAAGAAGAGGAUAUUACUGAAGAAGCUGCUUUGUCUAAAAAGAGAGCUACAAAAGCCAAAAAUACUGGACAGAGAGGCCUGAAAAUGUGACAGGAUCAUGAAUGUCAAAGGCUUUUAUCUUGAGAACAUGGUGUCUGGAGUUAAAGGUAUUGGCAUACUCCACACAUCUGUACCAUUCUUGAGUGAUCGCUUAGGUAAGUUUUAAUUGGUGACAGUAUAAUCUUUUGGGAAAUAAUGAUUACAGUUCAGAUGAUGAAUUUAACUGUUCAACUGCUGAAUGAUAACGGGCAUGAACUAAAACUUAAUUCUGACAGAGCUGGAUAUGGCUGUAUAAUAAACUGGAUCUUAAAUUUAUACUUGGGUUUUAGUUUUAAUAACUGGAAAUGUAUCCUUUCUAAAUCUUUAAUUGGUACUUUCUAUAGGAAUGAAUGUGAUUUGAACUCAUUCAUGUUGAGAGGUAAGUAAAAUAUUUAACUUAUAAUAAUCAAGGACUCAAAAGAUGAAAAAUAGAAAUUACACCAUCCCAGUAUUUCAGGUAUAACACAGAAUUAGUAAGAUACUGGCAAA